rnacentral:sRNA from 1 species
AUCUAGCUUUGCAUUGCUCGGCCAAUAUGGUUGGUGUGUACUCUGUAGUUUUGGCGAUGACUUCUUCCCACCACAACAGCAUCAGCAAGAUCGGGAAUUCACGCGUUAUUCCUGUUUUUCUCAUUCUCGUCCAGUUUUCUACAACAGGCCUAUGACGUUAUCUAGAAAAUGGAAUCCUUGAGACGAGAUGGUCAUACCGAUAGUGCGUAGCAUAUAUCCACCUACAUGUUGCAGGUUUAGGAAACUAAAUGAACUUGGAGCUAAACUACUACCAGCGCAAAACAGAAAAAAAUGAUCACAGAAAAUUGCAGACCUUGUGAAUUACCAAUCUAAAAUCAUUACAAGAAAUCAUUGAAAUAUCAGGGUUUAUUUCCGAUUGUAAAUGAUUGAAUAAACCUGUGCUAUCAGUAAAUUGAACAUUUAUAUAUGUUGUUGAUAAAUACUAGCACAACCCUGAUCUAAAUAUGAUUGAUAUGUAAAUGGUGUGAUUAUGAACAUCGUUAGAGGUAAAAUGAAGCAAUAAAAGUUGAGAUAUU